rnacentral:rRNA from 1 species
UACGUAGGGUGCAAGCGUUGUCCGGAAUUAUUGGGCGUAAAGAGCUCGUAGGCGGUCUGUCGCGUCGGGUGUGAAAAUCCAGGGCUUAACCCUGGACCUGCAUUCGAUACGGGCAGACUAGAGUUCGGUAGGGGAGACGUGGAAUUCCUGGUGUAGCGGUGAAAUGCGCAGAUAUCAGGAGGAACACCGGUGGCGAAGGCGGGUCUCUGGGCCGAUACUGACGCUGAGGAGCGAAAGCGUGGGGAGCGAACAGG